UUAAAAGCAAUGAAAAAGAGGAGUAAAAAUCCGGAGACAUUAUAGGAAACUCACACAAAUGAGUUGAGAAGUACAGUUUUUUUAUUAAAAGAGCUAGUAAGAGAGAGGGGAUUGCUGGAAACCCUUAUGUUGAAGGUUUUGAAGGUAGCUUUUGAGCUUCUUUAGUGAAAUUAAUAGUAGCUAAAGACGGUUUGUCUAAAUCGUUAUUCAAAUUAAGAGUCCAUUAAAGCAAAAAAUAUGACUGUAUGUGUGCUUAUGUGGAAAUAAAGGUGGUACCGCGAGUCUUCGUCCUUUUU
rnacentral:ncRNA from 1 species